GUUUCCGCUCACACCUAUUCACCCCCUAUAGGUGUCAUUUUUUCUAUGGCAUACCCAACAUAUCUCGUUUGGGGGAAGAGUGGUACUCAUUAAUUCAGUGCUUAUGAAUAUGUCUAUGUACAUGUUCUCCCUUUUUAAAGCUCUGAAUAUGGUAAUUUCAAAAUUGACCUCUUUACCAAGAAACUUUCUUUGGAGUAAUAGGUGAAGAUAAGGGUAUUCCCUGGGUUGCUUGGGCUGAGGUGUGUCAGCCAAAUAAAUUUGAUGGAUUGGGUGUCAAAGAUAUGUCUCGAUUUAAUGAUGUUCUCUUAGGAAAGUGGAAAUGGAGAAAACUGGUGGAGCCUGAUGCACUAUGGGUUAGAGUGUUCAACUCAAAGUAUGGAUACAUGGUUUGGUCAGAGUAGUCUAAAAGGUACAUUCCUGAGAAUAUAUAUGUUUGCUUUGGAGAAAUAAGUGGUUGUUACUGAUAAUGGAACGUGGACUAAUGGGAAGUGGAACUUAAACAUUCAGUGGAGGAUGAACUUAAUUGACUGGGAGGAGGAGUCUGUUAUAUAUCUCUAUGAGCUCAUUCAAAAUCACUCAUGCACUACUAAUAUGGCACCUAGAUAGAUCAGGCACCUAGAUAAAUGGAAAUUGCACCUACAUAGAUCAGGCAACUAUGUGGUGAAGACUACUUAUAUGGCACGGUUGAAUUCAUUAAUGCAUAUCCAUGUAAUCUUCUAAAUUUAUGUUGGAUAUUAAUUGUGCUCCUCCAAAGGUUUGUUGUUUAAUUUGGAAAGUUUUGAGAGGAAGAAUAGCAAUAAAGAUUGAGCUUCAUAAGAGGAAUAUAGUUGGGGUGGAUGACUUGAGUUGUGUGAUGUGUGCUGCAUGAUGAGCAUUCAGAUCAUCUGUUUUUAUCUUUCCCAUUUGUUUCCAAUGUGUGGAAUGGUUUCUACUCGUGGUUACAAAUUCAGAUGAUGUUUCUAAAUACAAUUGUGGAAUUGCUUCAGAUUCAUGAGUGUUUUUGUAAAAAGGGUAAAAAAAUAUUUUUGU